CUCGCGGCGCUGCCGGGUGCAGUCCAGGCUCCUGGCCGCGCGGGGGGCCCCGGCUGGGGCGAGCCCUGUCCCGGCCCCGUCUUCUGUAGCCCGGAGCCUCUUUUCUCGUCAUCACGGCUGCCUUGUGGCGCUGCCAGUGCCUGCCUGCCUGGCAAGUCGAAACAUGCUCCAGCCCCAGUGGACUAACAGCAGAAGAUGGCAGAGCUGCCGGAGGUUGGGGAGGCUGUGGGGGAGGGCAGUUUUGUGACUGCCGCACUUGAGGGCUGCCGCCUUGCAGGCAACAGGCUGAACCUGGAUGUGUACUCCGAUGGCUGUCGCCAGUUCCUCAAGCUGUUUGAGAAACGAAGGGAAGAGAUGGCCAAGGUGGAAUUCCUGCGGCUGAACUGCAAUGAGGCCCUCAUAGACUCCACGCUGGGCAGCCUUCCUGUCCUGAAGUGCCUGAAGUCCCUGGUGCUCAAAGGUGGGCAUGCCCAGGAUGAAUUCGGUGCUUGUCAGCAGGGUUCCCUGACAACCUUGCCAGAAGAUUUUGGGAGUCUCCUAUGUCUCACUCAUCUGGAUCUCAGCUUUAAUAGUUUCUCCAGGUUACCCAGCUGUGUCACUAACCUUGCCAGCCUCCGUGUGCUCUUGGUGUGCCACAACAGCCUGGUGGAGCUGCCCGAAGACUUUGGCCAGCUCAGUAAGCUGACUUUCUUCUCUGCCAUGAAAAACCAGCUCCGGGAUUUACCACGGAGUAUUGGGGAGCUGGCAGUGCUGCAGAGACUGGACCUGUCUGAAAACGCCCUGCAAUCACUUCCCGACGAGAUCGGGUGUCUGUAUAACUGCAUGGAGCUGGAUCUCUCAGGGAAUCAAUUGAUGCGUGUCCCUGACUCACUUGCCAAUUUGCAGUCUCUGCAGCAGCUGCGUCUUCACAGCAAUCUCCUGGUGACUGUCCCCGCAUCCCUUGCCAGCCUUCCCAACUUGUCCAGGCUUGACUUGCAGAACAACAGGCUCCGCUCCAUCCCUCCUGAGAUCCAGCACUCUCCCUUUGUGCACCUGCGUGGCAAUCCGCUAGGAGAACCUGAGAUCCCUCUGCAAUCUGAUGAAUCCAGCUCAGAAGAGCUAGGAAGAGUGUUCCUUGUACCCAGUGAGGACAGCUUUACUGUGACCCCUGAUGGCUGCAAAGUCAUCCUGGCCUGCGGCAUCCAGUUUUACUUCCCCCCGGGUGCUGCCACCACCUCAUUAACAAUCCAUUUCCAAACGCUGUCGCCUGACCCACAGUGGGUGAAACUGAGGCACCAUGACAUCCUGCUGAGUGAAGUCCUGGAGCUGCGGCCUCAUGGGAUUGUAUUCCAGCAGGAGGUGCAGAUCUGGAUGCCUUACGCCUCCCCUCAGACGCUGCGUGAGCGAGAAGUGGUAGUUCGGACCUUCAACGGGCAGAGCUGGAGCGACCUGCAAACCAAGGUGGAGCGGAGAGGAAAGCCGAAGAAGCACAUGGCUUGCUGUAGCAUCCCCCAUUUCUCCUGGUUCCUGGUCGUUUCUCGGCUUGUGGAGAAUAAAUGCAGUGUCCCAUCAGAGGGGACGUUGCUCUUUUCCACUGUGGAUCCAAGCAUCAAAGUGACCUUCCCUCCUGGAGUCACAGAGGAGACUCGGAGCGUCACAUUGCAGGUGUUGCCAGUGUCAGCAGAGGAGCUGGCAGAGAUCACGGAUGAUCCACAGUCCAGAGCUGGUCCCUUGCUCUGCCUCUCUCAGAAUUCCACUGUGGAUUUCCUCAGGCCAGUUAAAAUUCAGCUCCCGCUACCUCCAGGGGUUACAGGUUUCACCCUAAAUCGCUCCAGGCUGCAUCUUCUUCACGGCAACCUGCAAGCCCAGACCUGGGAUGACAUCACCAAUCAGGUUGUUCUGGAGUUCACCCACCUUUACGUGCGGUUUGAAGUCACCCACUUCUCCUGGUACUGGCUGUGGUAUACCACCAAGACCUACGUCGGCGGCAUUGCCAGGAAGGUGUACGAGAGGCUGCGCCUGUACCAGGUGAACUUCAUAGCACUGCAGAGGAAGAAGGACCCAGAGCAAGUCUUGCUGCAGUGUGUCCCCAAGAACAAGGUCGAUCCUGUUCUGGGAAAGCUUCAUGACCGCUACCAGGGCCCGGAGCCCUCUGACAUUGUGGAGUUGUUUGAGGGAGAGCAGUUCUUUGCAGCCUUCGAGCGAGGCAUCAACAUCGAUGCCGACCGCCCAGACUGUGUGGAUGGACGCAUCUCAUUCAUCUUUUAUUCCCACUUGAAGAACAUGAAGGAAAUCUAUGUCACCGCUGAAGUGGAUAGGAAAGGCCAAGCAGUGAGAGGGCAGGUCUCCUUCUAUCGUGGCGAAGUUCCAGACAAUGUCCCUGAAGAUGCCACCAAGAAGAGGAAAGGGCCUGACUCCCACUGGCUGGCUACUCUGCCAAUCAAACUGCCUAAACUGAAAUCCCACUCGGGUGAUCAUUCAGAGCCCAAGAAUGGCUUCUCCCUCCCUCCUCUGAACCUGGGGAAUGCCGAGACUGGCUACCUGACACAAGCUAAUCUGCUUGGCAUUGCUGGGCGCAUUGGAGCUGACUGGCAAACUAUUGGCUUGAACCUGGGGCUGCCCUAUCAGCAGAUCGAACGAAUAGGAUACAACCACAGGGAGGACCUGGAUAGUCAGAUCCUGAACAUGCUCUUCUCCUGGGCCCAGCAAAACUCUGAGGACCACAACUGCGUGGAGAAGCUGAUCACAGCCAUGAAGGAGAGCGGCCGCCAGGACAUUGCAGAUGAGAUUGAAACUGUCAUCGAGCUGGGAAGGCAGAAAUACAGGGCGUCCAUCCGCCGGGUGGGCCUGGACCAGGAGAGCAAUACUGAAGACUCUGCGUAGCCAUGGUGUAGCGGCCAACAGAAGGAACUCUGCUUCUUACUGUGGUGACUCCUUCCCCUGUGCACGAGGUGGCAUGGCUGCCUGGGAAACUCCCAACUAAUCCACAUACCACCAUCUGCCAUGGGCGCUAGGGGGGCACCAGCUGGAUUGUGAUCAUCCACUACUAACCCACCAUGCUCUGCGAAGGGUAUGCUAAUGUAUGACUUCUGUUCAGUCCAUACAUGCCAACUUCCCAGUAUAUGAGAGAGACUGGUCUGGCCCUGCUUCUACCUCAGCACAGGCUUCCUCUAAGAAAAGGAAGACUUUGGAGACUUCAGGGAAGGCUUCCAAAAAGAGGAGCGUGGAUUCUCUCCUCAAGGAGCCAGCUCCAAGAAAGACCACGUCCCUGGCAAGAUCUAUGGUCUCUGAAGCCUCAACCUUUUUACUAGAUACCGUUAAGUUGAAGGACUCUACAGCACUGUGAAUACUCAAGGAAAAGUCCAAGAGCAUGAAGGGGAGACACUGCUGUGUUAGAGCCUUGGUACCUUCUACAGCAAGGAGAGCAAGAAUAGACACUUGGGACUGGCACCAUUGAAGUCAGCCCAGCCUUUGGGACCCAUAAAUGCAGCACCCUCAGCACCGGGCAAGGGGCAGCGCCAGAUACCAUCUGCGUCUACUUUGGAAUGCCCACCAUCAGCAGUACUGUUGGCUUCAGCAACCAUGGCCAUUGCUACUCCAUUGGUAGUGAUUCCCUAUUCGAUAGCACAAGAGUUCAGAUAUAAUAAAGACCUGUCGAUAACAGAAGAACUGGAGUCUCCACUUCUUAUGGGUACCAAGCAUCUCCCUGUAAAGAGACCCUGGACUACCAUCCUCUGGCACCACAGGACUCUCCACUGUUUUGUGCAGGUACUCCUCCCCUGGAUGAGAUGAUGGAGGAUGAAGGAGACUUUGUCGGUUUCUUCUAUUUCUGUUCAGAGUUCUGGCAUAUACCUUCAGGAACUCAUUUUCUGAAAGGCAUAGGGAAGAUUGAGCUCAUUAUCCAGGGUGGUGGAACCAACCUUGCAUGCCACUCCCAGGAAUCUGUACUAGGACCAGUGCUAUUCAACAUAUUCAUAAAUGAUUUGGAAAAAGUGGCAAGCAGUGAGGUGGCAAAUUUUGCCUACAAUACAAAAUUUCUCAAGAUAGUUAAGUCCAAAGCAGACUGCAGAGAGUUUCAAAGGGAUCUCACAAAACUGGGUGACUGGGCAACAAAUUUGCAUUUAUCAACAUUGAAUUUCAUCUGCCAAGUAAUGCACAUUGGAAAACCCAAUCCCAACUACUCAUACAAAAUGAUGGGGUCUAACUUAGCUGUUACCACUCAAAAGAAAUCUUGGAGUCAUUGUGGAUAGGUCUCUGAAAACAUCCACUCAAUGUGCAGCAGCAGUCAAAAAAGCUAACAAAUGGUUCACCCACGCCUUGAAUACUGUGUGCCGUCCUGGUCACCCCAUCUUGAAACUGAUAUAUUAGAAUUGGAAAAGGUACAGAGAAUGGUAACACAAAUUAUUAGAGGUAUGGAACAGCUUCUGUAUGAGGAGAGAUUAAAAAAGACUGGGACUUUUCAUCUAAGAUUAGGGGAAACUAAGAGGGAUAUGAUAGAGGUCUAUACAAUCAUGACUGAUGUGGAGAAAGUGAAUAAGGAAGUGUUGUUUAGCCCUUCACGUAACACAAGAACCAGGGGUCACCCAAGGAAAUUAAUAGUGAGCAGGUUAAAACAAACUAAAGGAAGUAUUUCUUCACACAGUGCUCCAUCAACCUGUGGAACUCAUUGCCAGGGGAUGUUGUAAAGGCCAAAACUAUAAUAGGGUUCAAAAAAGAACUAGAUAAGUUCUUGGAGGAAAGGUCCGUCAGUGGUUAUUAGCCAAGAAGGUCAGGAAUGCAACCCCAUGCUCUGGGGCAUCCCUAGCCUCUGAUUGCCAGAUGCUAGGAGUGGAUGACAGGAUAAUUGCCCUGUUCUGUUCAUUUCCUCUGAAGCAUCUGGCAUUGGCCAUUUUUGUAAGAUGGGAUACUGGGCUAGGGGGACCAUGGUCUGACCUAGUGUGACUGUUAUGUUCUAGAUCCAGCAUGGGACUCGGUUUUGCAGUACUAUCUGCAGUUCUGGACUCUGUUCUGAAACUCCCUCCUCCAUCUGGCAAGACUGCUCGGAAGUCACUUGGAGUGGAACACCCACAAGGACACUCCUCAAAGAAGAGGUCACUCACUUUGUGCAGUAACUGUGGUUCUUUGAGGUGUCUCUCUCUAUGGGUUCUCCACUACCCAUCUCCCCUGCCCCUUUCCCUCUUCUUUGGACUGAUCUUUAGGAGAUGUCUGGGUGGAGAAGGAAUUGAGGGCAGUUCACUCGCACACUCCUGUAUGGCCUCGGUAUCCAGGAUGAGGAGGCAUAGGGUGUAUGAAUGGAUACUGCUAACUGGAACUCUCUGAUCAAGGGCUCGAGAGUCAUAAGCACACUUCAAGUGAAGCACCCACUGAGGGACACUUCUUGAAGAACCGCAUGUACUGCACAAAAUGACUAACCUCUUCUUCCUGUUAGUUUUAUAAUAUGUUGUGUGUCAUUUCUGUCUGGUCUGGGAAGUUACUGUUCUUUGCUCCAACUUUGGAGUCAUGCACUUGGGCAUGUUGCCCUAAUUUGUAAUAAAAGAAACUUUAAUCAUGUUGUAUCUUGUAAGUACAUGAUGGGUAACAACGCCACGUGGGCUGCAGUGUAUAUAUAGCAGCUAAUCAUGUAAGGACUUACCCUAGUCUAGCUCACAAGUCUGUUCUAGAGAAGGCGCGCUAAGGCCCUGUCUAUGCUGUAGGCAAACAGUUGCAUUGUGGGAUCUGGUUAUGUCAUGACUUUGUCUUGUAGAGGCGAGUGAGUUGUGCUUUGACUAUGUUCCUGGUCUGCAUUACAGCCCAAAGGCUGUCACAUGUUUCAGGAACUCAGUUAAGUAUUAUUCAGUCCCCAUCCCUGUAAUAGGCUCCUCUUCAUGAGGAAAAUUAGGUACGAGUUGUGGUAACCAGCAUGAUGCUAAAUCCCUCUUAGCAGUCAGUAUAGACAGGGCUGAGUUGUGGUGAAUAAACCUUGCUGAAACAAUGUUAAACCCAGCUCGAACUUCCUCUGUAUGCUGAUUGUAAAUCUAUUCUAUUGAAGUUCUUGUACCAUCUUUACCCUGUAGUAUCUGAGCACCUUCCGGUUGUGCACUAACCACUGUGAUUAACAUCUGUCAUGUGUGGUUCUUUCUGUGUCAUCCUUGGUGCUGCACUCACCCCUGUGUGUUGCUAGGACUUCCGGAGUCAUAUCCCAUGUUUUUUUGGUGCUGCAAUGAGCUAAGCUGUUCCUAUGAUACUUUCCCCGUGAAUUGUGGGAGAAUUUGUCUGUUGUAUUGGGCACAUGGGAAUCAUGUGAAGGGCACCGGAGGAUUAUUAGCACUUAAGUAACAGCCUGUGUCCUCCUUGCAAAACAGGUGGGUUGCUAGCUUGAGGGAAAACAGAACCUGAGGUCUAAUGAACCAAGCCCCUCCCCCCUCACAUGCCAGCGUCUCCAGAUUUAAAACACCACUAAAUUCAGGUGAGAGGCUGUGUGUGUGGAUGAGAAGUGGGGUUAGAAGUAAUCGUUAAGCAAGCGCCUGGGUUAACUAUUGAGAUCAUCCCCAUAAGAACUGAACCAUAUUAGGGUUUGUGAGUUAUUACGUGGGGGUUGCAAGCUGUCAGCCUCCACUCUCGAAUCUCGCUUUGCCUCCAUCAUUUAUAAUGUUAAACAUGAAAAAAGAUUUUUUUUAAUUUAUGGAGGAGAGGGGUUACCUUUCACGGAGCAAGCUGCUGAGUGUAUCACCAAUGCAGAACUUUGAGAACCACCACUAUAGCAAAUCCCUUAAAAUGACAAAAGCCAUUACAAGUGAGACUGCUCGAAAAAUAGUAAAUGUUCUCCAGGAAAACUGUUA